CAAGGGCCCAGUGUCUCUACCGCGAGCGCCGCAAACUCGUAGUCCUUAAGUAAGGACGAAUAUUUGCGGCGCUUGAGAACCUGGGCCUGGUCAGCCGCGCCGCCGGCCUGGGUGCGGGUCGCCUGGAUAUGGGACUGUGCGAAGGUAUCUACGCAAGUUGCGUCCCACACCAGGGCCCUACCUAGUUUCCACGGCACCAAUGUGGCCCCGUCGGGGCGCCUGCCAUCGUCCCUCGCCAUGCCCGCGGGUUCGAGAAUCGCAGGCACAGACGCGGUGGCAAGCGACCGACGGACCAAAUCAUUGAUGGUACCGUGGCGAAAUAGGCGGCCGGCGCUUUUGGGGCAUGAAAGGCCAUGCAUGUCGGCCCAGCUGAUCGACGUUUUUGCCACAGGCGCAAGUGUGAGGGACACAUAUUUUGGACCCAAGCCUUAAGCAUAUAGCUAUUCUCAAGUUACUUGGGUCCAAAACGGUGCCUAUUUGACGGGAAGGGAGUGCUCGUAGCCAAUGGCCCGACUCGGGGGCUGAUACGGCUAGAAUUCGGGCACGUUCGAAGUCGUCCGGACUAUCCUGAAGAAGUGUGGUAUGAGCUGCUUUUAAGGGAGGGGAGUCCCAAGCCCGCUGAAUGUGACGGGCGACUGGGAUGUCCUCACCCGGACACGACUCACACCAGGCCUCCCUGGCCUCACUUAGAUUCGCUAUCUCAUCGUCAGGUAUCUGAGGAAGGUUUAAAAUAAUACCGACGAGAGAUAGCGAGCCGUAUACUGAGGACAGGAACGCGGGUAGAGCCAAACUGGCCGAAGUGCGAACGCCCAGUCCACCCAGCCUUAUGGGUAGAACCGCUUGGGUCCAUGAACUAUUGUCGAGAUGAAUGUUCAGUGUUUUGGAAAGGCUUGCCUGAAGGGAGGAGUCUAUGGAAGACAGGAUGGACGGAAAUUUCCAAAUUGGGCAACUGCGGAGUAAAUACAUAAAUUUGGGUGUAAAUAAGCAAAAACGAAUGAUGAAAAGAGCCAUAUGGGGAUUUAUUUUAAAUAGGAGGUCUGAUGUAUUAUUGAAUAAAUUUAAUUUACAGUUAAUGACGGGUGCGAUUGAUUCGUCAAAAAUUGGUGAGCCUAAAAGGGUGAGGGAUGUUUUUGAAUGAACGGAAAUAUUAGGUAAAACUGCGUUAAAAUUUGUUAGUAUAUCUAUUUUUGUAUUCAAUGGAACGUGAUCUGGAAUAAAAAUUUCGCAUUUAGUGAAAUUUAAUGCAAGCCCGAUUUUCGAAAAUUUAUCUAUGAUAGAUUGUAUAUCUUGUAGUACGGUUAGUGCGUCUCCGCCAAGGGAGCCGUCAUCUAAGUACCAACAAUUGAAUUUUGAAUUUAGACUAGAGAUGAUGGGGUGAAUGACCAAACUAAAAAUGGCAGGCCCAAGCGGAUCUCCCUGUUGGCAGCCCAUACUUGACAAGAUAAUAUCAUUUCCAAAAAGUAAUUUUGAAGGUGCUCCGUAGCAUUGCCAAAUGUAUUUGUAAAGUUCUGGUAGCUCUUUUUUUACUUCUGCUAACAGAGCACCGCGGUCGACCGAAUUAAAUGCAUUUUUGACAUAACUGUAGUAUGUUCUAAUAGCACCGCACUUAAUAGACGUUUUGUAAUGUUUAAAAAGUUUACUACUGGUCAGCUAACUGAGUUGAUCUGUAAAGUGUGCUCUGCGGGGCAGUUUGAAACACUUACGGGGCACUUUGAUUCACGUGCCAAAGUACCCCAAAACGAUGUAUCAAAGUGUCCCAUGUAAUGUAUCAAAGUGUUUAGAGUUCAUUUUGAGGCCUAAAAUCGAUUUCAAAAAAAGGUGUACCAAGCUGCCCCGCUUCCCCCUACGGAUGUGAUUAGUUGAACCAUAAACAUUAUAAUUUUUAAGAAAAAAAAUACCGAUUUCUAUGGGGGCCGGUGAAAGAUUAUUGUAGAUGGUGCACUAUGUAGAAAAGGAGGUAAAACCACCCACUUUUCUAGUAGCAUUUCGUUUCUGUAAGGGUCUUAGUUCUAGCCUAACCUAACCCACUUCUCUGAUAGCAGUUCGGUUCUGUGAGGAUCGCAGUUCGAACCUAAACAAACCCACUUUUCUAGUAGCAUUUCGUUUCUGUAAACCUAACCUAACCCACUUAACGGCUUUUUUGGAAUAUAAUAUUAGUCAAUAAAAAUCGUUUGCUAAAUAAUUUUUUGUCCUAACAACAUUUGACAAAGUAAAAUCAUGCCAAGUGAUAAUUUGACCAAAUAAAUUAUAUGCGAAGUGUAACUUUGCUAAAGGUUCCUUUGGGAAAUGAAACUAUUGCGAUAAGUUUGUUGGGAAGUGAAAUUUGGCAAAAGGUAUUUGGCCCAAACGAAAGUACACCAUAGAAUAGAGAUAGUUUGACUCCCGGGGAACGACAAAGAGUUAUUUUCAUUCAAGAAAUCACCCUUUAACUGAUUGAAUAAAAUAAUAGCUACCUACCUAAAUUAAUAAUUCCACGCUGACGAAGUCGCGGGCAAAAGCUAGUAUAUAUAUAACAGUAAGCUACAGAGAUGAGCCACUGAAAAUAUCAUUGAUACACAAUUAGACACCUAACCUAUUUUUGUAAGGAUAUAUUAUUAUCACUGCCAAAAGAAGGUUAAAGGUGCCCUCUAGCGUUCCGGGAGUGGGCAGUCAACGUGAAAAAUGUUCAAAUGCUGGAAAGUGCAGGGGUCAAAAUGUCCAUACGGAACCGGCUGUCUAUGUGGCAAAAAGUAGGUAGGUUAGGUUCGUUAGGUAGCUUCAGAUGCCCGAAGGGCAAACCGCCGAGAAAUAGGAGCCCCGCGAAGCGGGGCUCCGUCUAGUUACGUCUAGUUGCAUAGACAGCCGGUUCCGUAUGGACAUUUUGACCCCUGCACUUUCCAGCGUUUGAACAUUUUUUAACGUUGACUGCCCACUCCCGGAAUGCCCUCUAGUAGUAGAAGGUAUUGUCAUACAAUGAAUGGUAUUAUAAUUUUUUUUUUCAUAUAUAUACUAUGGACAUUCCUCGAUGGCAUCAAGUUGCAACCGGAAAGCGAUGAUCACACGGCAAAUCAAAUCCUGAAGACUAUAGCAGCCACGUCAAAGAAAGAUAUACCUAUCUACCUACCUACCUACCUACCUAUUAAAAAAAAUGUUUAUUCUUUCUCGUUUGAUAUGGAGUGCGCAAAAGAAUUGCACGACCUGAUCCCAGCUUUCCCUUUCCGGACGUCCAGGCGCGAGGAGCGAAUGCACCCGUUCGUUGUUAAUAUUCCAUUUGUCCGCACAAAACGAUUUGCCUCAUCUUUUUUGGUAAGGACGAUUAAGGAAUGGAAUGCGCUUCCGUCAUCUGUGUUUCCUGGGAAAUUUGACCUCGGUCUCUUUAAAGCAAGAGUGAAUAGGCUAUUACUUACUGAGCCGGUAAGCUCCAUCAUCUUAGGCUCUGUUUUCACUUUCCAUCAGGUGUGACUAGAGCCAAUGCCCGUUCAGUUUAUUAUAAAAAAUAUAUAUACAAAGAG